AUCCUCUCAGGGUGGCACCUGAAGAAUUUCCAGUACUCUACCAGUCUCGACUAUGGGAGGGAGAGUCAAGCAGAGGCCUGUCCAUUUCAUUUCUAGCUUGGGCAGUGGCUAGCGAGUGGAAAGCAAUCUGCUACAAGU